UCCCUUGUGGCUCAGAUGGUAAAGCGCCUGCCUACAAUGCAGGAGACCCAGGUCGAUCCCUGGGUUGGGAA
rnacentral:tRNA from 1 species